rnacentral:lncRNA from 1 species
GGAUGAUCAAUUGUUUUUUCUUCUGUUCGGUAAUGCAUUGCUAAUUGCUAGGGGAGGCUAGGGAUAGCAACUCGGUAAUUAGUAAUAAGCUCUUUUCACCGAGGGAUCGGGUUAAGGGUAGGCCAAGAAAGUUUGCAUAACAAUUAGAUAAUCAAGAACAUUAAACAAGAGGAGUAGAUAAGAGGGAGCAAAUUAGAUGAAAUUGUCAACCCCCAACAACUCCAUUCAUCCAUAGUCUUUUUCAUCAAUUGAAUCAAACACAUUGCAUGUUUAUUUUCUGUCCUUGCAUUCCAAACAAAUAAUUUUUCUCUACAAGU